CUUUCGACUUUGACCUAGCAAGGGAUGGCCCUUGACUGGGAAGUAAGCGAGAGAAAGAACCUUUGGAAUUCCAAGUGAGAGACCAAAUUCUUUAGGAAACCUCACUCUGGGCACGGCUUAAUACACUUCGUAAAUCGUGGAAAGCUAAAAUCCAAUAUAGUUAGGACCUCCGAGAUUCUUACCAGAAUCUGUCCUGCGUUUCACAAACUAGACCUACUCCACGAACUCAGUAACGUACAUUUUCCCUUUCGCGUCUCAAACUUGAAACAGUAUCCUUCCAUUAGGACUUUCGUAAUCCCUCACAACGAGAUCGAGAUUUACGAGAUCCUUACCUUCGUAUUUGAACCGUAGUGACCCUCGACCGAGUGGCCAAGCGGACGAAGCAACGCCGUCGCCCGUUAGUGAAGGUUCGUUGGAAUGCCAACCGAGAACCCGAUUUCACUUAGGAGCGCUAGAACAUAUCAAUUUGGAAGUUUUUCCUCCUCACGACUCGAUCAUUCGUACAUACUUCCUUGCCUAAAUUCUAAUUUCGGACGAAAUUCACUUUAACAGGGGGAUGAUGUGACAACCCGAAAUUUCCAUUCUGAACAAAACACAUCAAGACAAUAGAGCUUAGAACAGUUUCAGUGAAAUUCCAAACUUCGGGUAUAAGUUUGGCAGUUUUUUUUCAGGAUUUACACUUAAGGAGAUAUCAGGAGAGUGGUUGCACUAGGGUUUUGUGCGACACUGUUAUUCCAACACUCAGUUGUAUUAGAGAUCAUUUCUGGAAUAAAAAUAUUUUCUGCCAAAAAUAUCUCAGGACUAUAAAUAGAUUUCUAAACCAAAUUUAUUCAUUAUUCACAUUUCCAACUAGAGAAAAGCCAUUUUCUCUUUCACGGAUCUUCGGGUUUUUAUUCCAAAACGUGAGUAACUCUUUCUAGUGGUGUUAGAAUGUUUAUUAUGUGCUUAUAACAUGAUGUAGAUGGCUAAAUAAUUAGAUCUAGGAGUUUACUCCCCAAGGUGUUCUUGGGCGGUAAACUCCCGAAACCGAGCCUAGCUUGUUCCUUGUGUUAUGCUACUGCCUUAGACUCAAUUGUAGGUGUAUUAAGGACAAGAAAACAAUCAAAGAACACAAAAACAUGGGAGUUUACAGCCAAAGUGCAAUCUUAGGCCGUAAACUCCAUGAAAAUGGACCAAAGGGUGUUGUUAAUACACCUAAAGCCCUAGACCUUUACAUAGAAUUGUUUCCCAUUUAAUCUAAGACCUUAAACACAUAAGAAUCACAUUUCAAAGAGAGUUUACGGCCAUGACAUGGUUCAUGGGCCGUAAACUCACUAAAGGGGCACCAAAGUGUGUCAAUGGUCUUCAUAUGCUUGGAAUAAAAGUCUAGAACCUAUACCACAUGUGCAAGAGACUUAAAAGCAUCUAAAUCACCUCUUGAAGUGAGUUUAUGGCCUUGGUAAUUCUCCUAGGCCGUAAACAACUAACAAGGGCACCAAAGUGUGCCUAGGGUCCCCAAUUGCUUUAAGCAAAUGUCUAGAACCUAUACUUUAAAAGCAUAAGGCUUGAAAACAACAAAAACAACACCCCAAGGGAGUUUACAACCGUAAACUCCAAGGGGAAUGGCCUUGGGGCCGUCAACUCCUAAUUGGAGUAUUUCCAGACCUUAAACCCCUUCAAGGAUGGAACCACCAAGUUAGAAUAAUUCUAGAAAGCAUUUGGGACUUCAAAACACACAAAUACCCCAUGGUUGGGAGUUUACGGCCGUAAACUCAAGAGUUUACAACCGUAAACUCCAUGUGUGUUAGUAUAUGAGGAGUAAACUCAUAUAUGGGGUCCUUUGGAACCCUAAACACAAGUACCUUGUCCCACAAUAGCUUAGAUGCAAUCCUUAGGGCUUAAAACACUUAUAUAAAGUGUUUAUUAUGUCUAGGAUGUCUUAACAUUAUCAAUUAGUGAUUUGAGACUAAUUGAGUGCAUAUAUGUGUGAUUAUAUGUUCAUUAGGAUCGUAGUGUGUGUACAAGUCCUCGCUUGACACCUAGCAAUCCUAUACCGUUCAGUUCAUCCCAAUCACCAACUACAGGUGAGUUCAUACCCCUAAUCAAUAUUUUAAAUGCUUUAUGGGGGGGGGGAAUACAAGUAGAAACAAACAUGUUAUUGAAUCAUUGAUAUGUAUUUUAUAACUGUGUUUGUCAUUUAACGGAUUUCACAUGCUACAAAAUGUGAUGCAUGAAAUGGUUUUACAUCUUAAAAACACAUUGUUACCAAAUGUUUUACCUUUGAAACGUUUAUUAAAAUGACAUCAAGUCAUUGUUAAUUAUUGUUCAAAACCCAUAAGAUGUCUUACAAAACCAUUUUACAUUCUUGAACAAAACUAUUCAUACACACUUAUAUUCUUACAUAUGUACUGAUGUUAUAGUUUACCUCUUUCAUUUAGUUUCCCACACCCUUGAGUAGUAAGAGUGUAUAAACCUACAUGAUCAACCAGUUAUAUUACAGUAAAUGAUCAUAGGGAUAAUUUAAAGAUAUCAAACAUUACUUCUAUUACAAGGAAUCACACAAGAGUCAGUUCAUUCAUGAGUCUAUACUAGUACAUUACCUGAUACAUGAGUACUUACAGAUGUUUACCUGAUACAUGAAUAUGUUUACAUAUACUUACCUGUUACAUGGACACACAUACAUGAAUACCAUAUAAGAACACUUUUACAUAGGUGCAUUAUCCUUUAUUCACUUAGCUAGAUACUUGUACUUAGGACUACGAGGAUGAUUUAUUAGUACUUACUGUGUAAAUUAUCUUUCCCUAUCUCGGUUCAAUGGGAUAGCUUGGCGGGACUUACCAUUCCGUACCCCACUGAUUAGCACCAGUGGUCGAUGACCAUCUACGGAGGUGUAAGGUUACUACUUAUAUUAGGUAGUUCGAUUUGGGACUAACCCUUCCACUCACCUGCUGCUGCUACAGAGGACAAUUGGACAAUCUUCGGAUGUUCAUUAGGUUAUACUUUUCGCUUAUUGCGAUGAUUGUGUUACUCCUAGGACCCAGCGAUGACACAUACAUUAAUACUUGUUUUGGAGAACCUUUGGAUGUUCAUUAGGUUACAUAUUUCGCUUAAUGCGAUGUUGUGUUAGUCCUAGUACCCAGUGACAACACUUACAGUAGUACAUUUUCCUGUUUACUUUAUUUUGUGAUACAUUCACAUAAACGAUGAGUUAGACUAAGCACUUUUAGUACUAGUCAAUACAAAGGAAAAACUAUCAUUUUACAAACAAAACAUUCGGGUCUUGGUAGAAGACUACAUUUCAUACUUACAAAACAUUCGGGUCUUGGUAGAAGACUACACUUCAUACUUACAAAACAUUCGGGUCUUGGUAGAAGACUACACUUCAUACGUACAGAACAUUCGGGUCUUGGUAGAAGACUACAUUUCAUACUUAUAGAAAAUAAGGGUUUUUCUAGGGAUUUCAUACUUACCUCAACAUUUUCAUUUAAAGGUUUACAUGGCCUUCAUAACAGAUUUUCACAAACAAGGCAAUGACACUAUUAUACUUAUGAAUUCACCAGCUUUAAAGCUGAUACUCGCUUUCAAAAUAACUUGUAUUCUUAGGUCAUCAGUAGACAGGUACGGAGGCCAGGUUUUGAGAAGACGGAGCAGACAAGUCUCGUCUUUUAUUUUGAUUGUAUAUUUUUGGUGUCUUACUACAAUGAAAGAACACAUAUGUAUUAAAAAUUUACUUAUAAUGAAAUGGAUGAUGUUGUUGCUUGUUUAUUAUAUUACACUAUUGUGAUAUUGUACUUGACGUCCUCCACCCCUGAAUGUUUCCGCCGUUCGUGGUUUUGCGGUGUGACAGAUUGGUAUCAGAGCAUUGUUUAUAGUGAAUUAAGUAUAUCAUCCCAUAAAAGGUAUACUAACUAUAAAUACAUGGGAUUAAAAGUCUCUGUCUCAGAGUUAUACUUAUAAAUAAUAAAAUAUUUAAGUAAGUAUACGUGUCUGCAUUCAUACUAAAACCAGUGUCACAAUGACAAGAACAAAAGUAUUAUGAUUGUUGAAUAUCACAAGUAAGCCUGGGGAUAUAUGGUCAGUCUUGGGAAUGGCAUAGCCUGAUCAACUAUGCUGGUCCGAGGAGUGAUUAGAAUAUGCCCAAGAAUGGUUGUGAUAUGGCAACAAGUCUAAAAACUUACCAACACAACCAUAAAGAAAUACCAUANUCCCCACGACAACCUGUUCCUUCCGAACGAAGUGAUUGCUGGAUGGUUUGGAGAAGAACCAGAUGAUGAUCAUCCAAUCCCUCUGAAUGAUCACCAUGCUGACGACCUUUCAGACGAUGCCAUCUCCGAACCCGAGGUUGAGAACCUACCCCAGGCAACUCCCUUUCCGAUUCCUAACCCUUGUCCUGUUUUUCAUGGCCCGACGCCUGAGUGGGUGGAAUGUUUGGAAACAUGGAGCCAGGUACAAGAUCAGCCCAUGCCAUUUAAUGGUGACCGAAGCUUCUAUGACCUAAGCAAUGGGGGCUCAGCAGACAUGAUCAUGCCAAUUCUGAUCCGAAGAGUUGCCCGAAAUGAAAUUCAGGGCAGGACAACUCUACAACGUAUCGCAGAAGUUGAUACAAAUGGAGGAAUGCAUAUGCUUCACACCAGUCGCCUUGAACAUGCUCGUGAGAGGUCUGAGAGAGACCAUGAAACCCUGCUGCAAGCGCUGGCUGAAUCACGAGCCGCAGUCAUGGAACUUCCGGUACGCCAGAGAAUUUAUGAAAGACACUUACUUGAUGUGGAAUGCCAACUGGUUGAACUGAGAGUUCACCAGAGGGAUGACCGUCGCCAGUAGUAGAUGCUUUACUUUAUAUUCCUUGUUAGAAAGGAAUCGUCUUUCUGUCUAUGCCCGAUGUGGCAUUUUCUAUGAAACUAUAUUGUAUUGUAAGUACUCUAGUUAGGUCUUUAUGCGGUUAAGAACUGUCUCCUCUGAAUAUGAUGUAAGACCUUUUUACAAGGUCAUUUUCCCGAACUUGUACGUCAUGAAUAUCAAAAGUAUUGACAGUCGACUAACUUCUGUGUCGUUCUUUAUUCGAAUACUCUUAUCAUACUUUCAUUAGGGUCUAUUUGAAAUAUGCCCUAGUCAAGUCAUUAGACUAUAGCAAUUUAACUCCGGAGACAUCCCCAAGUCUCUGGUAAUGGUGGAUCACGUUUUUAGCCAACCAGCGAUACCUCGGCUAGAACGACAAACAUCUUGAGACCAUUGCAUGAACAUACUCCCAUUCCAUACUAGGACGUCAUCAUAGGGAUGUAGGUCGAACCUUAGAGAACAUACUUCUAUUCUUUACAUGAGCAACCGAACUACGUUUAGAUUCAACCAUUUUCGCUCACAAAUCCAUUUUUUCUUUUGGUGUAACAGAAUCAUGAAUCCCAAGAAAAACGAUCAACCCAUCAACCAAACACCAACUCUUUAGAUUGAUGCAACUACCUUUCAAGCUGCACUCUCGGCUGCCCUGUCAGCUGUUAUGACGCACCUGAACGCUAACAACGCAAGUGUUAGCAGGAUCACUACCAAUCAUUCCAAUCCAAGUAACAAUCCAGCCCCGCAACGACCAAUAAACUACCAUGGUACCCCGAGUGCCGAGGCCAAAAGUAAUAGCCAGAAGUUUUGGGCCAAAAGGAAGAACAAGUCGCUUCGAAGGGCGAACAGGAAACAACCACCAGUAACAACCUUCACAGCCACGACAUCAGCACCUCCAACUGCCAUCCCUUUGGGCAUCCCAAUGUUCCCCAAACCAGCCAAACUUUAUGCUGGAAUCCUCCCAAAAUGCAUUAAAUGCAGUUUUAACCACUAUGGACCUUGUAAGGAGAUGCAAUGCUCACACUGCAACAGGAAGGGGCAUACAGCCCGUUUCUGCAGGACGCCAACAUCUCAGGACGCUCAAGUGCCAAACACCAGUGUGAACCAGGUUUGAUACGGCUGUGGCAAAGUAGGUCACUACAAAAGGAACUGCCCAGGGGCAGAAAAUGCUGGCACAGACGAAAGUCUACUACCAACCACCGCCGCAGGAGAGUCUACUCCGGACUCACGUUAAUGUAAUUUAGACGUUUCGUUGUAACAGACUUAUGAACUAUCCCAAGACUAGUGCAACUAGAGUCUUAUCUUUUGCGAGAUCCUGUCGGUAUAGGGAUGCUCGUGCUGCGUAUACUUGUCUUUUGUAGUAUAUCUGAUUCACAGCAAUAGUCUUGUAGCAAAUCUAAAGUACUGUAACUCUAAUCAUCGUUGCACAGUUGUUUUUUUUUGUAAAUGUUCUAUGCUCAAAUAUAAUGUCCUUAAGUUUCUUUAUGAUUUCGACAUUAUCAUACGACUCGAUUCAAUUCGAUCCUUGCAAUAUCAAAUUCAUAAGUACAUCUCUUUCUCAGUGAACGUCUUUUAGCGAAGCCGUCAUAUCAGAACACCGAAGUACUCAUAACAGGAGUACCUAUUAGUUCUUUUCGUUUCCGAAGGAAUCCCCACAUUAUCGCUCGUGCAGUACUUCAAGUUCAUUUCAAGAUUCAUAUGGUUGAUCUAUCACGAAAGAAUGUAUGCAAGAGAGUGAUAUAUAAUUAAUGUUCUACAGGUUUAGAAUUGAUGAUUCCACUUUAAUUUCUUUUCCCUCGAUGGGAUGUGAAAUUAAGGAAGAAUCAGUUAUUCGAUUACCUGUACAGUCUUAACUAUAUACGACUCGUAUACACGAAAUUGUGAUCCUUGAAUCAUGUAUGAAUUCUAACAUGAACUUCAGGACGGAGAUUGUCUAGGAGAUCGAGUAAUUGCAUUGGCAUAGGAACCAACUUAGAACCCAGUAUGACUCUUAUAACCAGAUCGCCUUCAGUCUAAACACCUACGGAAGAUACAAGACCAGUCCGGACAACACCACGAACUACUCAACAAUAGAAUUAGAAGACCAGGCUUCUCACCCUUGAGAGCUCCAGUCUUAUUCUUACCAGAAGUCGAUGGAGUGCAUCAUAUGUACCUCGACGACCGGAGACUUCGUUUAGAUUUCCUUUAGAAAUCGUUAUCUCUGCCUCGCUUAGAAGAGCUAAUUGAGCAACCACAAGGAAAGUGUUACUUUCAGAAAUGGACCUGAGAUCCGAAUAUCACCAGUUCGAGUGUUAGGGAACGAUGUCCUAAAGACUACCCUCCGAACUCAAUACGGACACUUCGAGUCCGUAGCGAUACCCCUCGGAUAGGACCAACACACCAAUAUUAUUCAUGAGCUGAAUGAGUAGAGCACGCCGUUCUUACCGGGAUCAGUUCGUCAUUUCUCCAUAAAAUGACUACUUAUCUACCCUCGUAGUAAGAAAGAACCCAUAGAAACAUUUCCCUCAGAGACACUUUCCGCAAAGUUCUCUGAACAAGAGUUAUUGAUUUUAGAGUCACAUUUCCUGAGACACACUUUUAGUGUUGUGGAAAUUCUUGAGUACUCUGUCAAAUUAUCCAAAACCGUUGGGAAUUUGUCGGCACCGUAGUCACCGACGGAAAGUUCGCCAAACUCUAGGUCUUACAGACCUACUAUCAUAGUCCAUUUGGUACUCCCCAUAAACUUCAGGAACCCUUUCGACUUUGACCUAGCAAGGGAUGGCCCUUGACUGGGAAGUAAGCGAGAGAAAGAACCUUUGGAAUUCCAAGUGAGAUAACAAAUUCUUUUGGAAACCUGACUCAGGGAACAACUUAAUACGCUUCGUAAAGCGUGGAAAGCUAAAAUCCAAUAUAGUUAGGACCUUUGAGAUUAUUACCAGAAUCGGUCCUGCGUUUCACAAACUAGACCUACUCCGCGAACUCAGUAACGUAUAUUUUCCCCUUCGCGUCUCGAACAUGAAACAAUAUCCUUCCAUUAGGACUUUCGUAAUCCCUCUCGACGAGAUCGAGAUUUACGAGAUCCUUGCCUUCGUAUUUGAAUCGUAGUGACCCUCGACCGAGUGGCCAAGCGACGAAGCAACACCGUCGCCCGUUAGUGAACGUUCGUUGGAAUGCCAAUCGAGAACCCGAUUUCACUUAGGAGCGCUAGAACCAAUCGAUUUGGAAGUUUUUCCUCCUCACGACUCGAUCACUC
rnacentral:lncRNA from 1 species